UACGUAGGGUGCAAGCGUUGUCCGGAAUUAUUGGGCGUAAAGGGCUCGUAGGCGGUCCAUCACGUCGGGAGUGAAAAGCUGGGGCUUAACCCCAGUCCUGCUUCCGAUACGGGUGGACUAGAGGUAGGUAGGGGAGAACGGAAUUCCUGGUGUAGCGGUGAAUGACGCAGAUAUCAGGAAGAACACCGGUGGCGAAGGCGGCUCUCUGGGCCUUACCUGACGCUGAGGAGCGAAAGCGUGGGUAGCGAACAGG
rnacentral:rRNA from 1 species